GGCGUGACCCUGCUUUCUCUCGUUGCAGUGUAGCGUGGCGGCAGAGCGGGCGCGCGGGGGACCCUCCUCUCCACCAACAACACUCCACUCCAGGCUGAGGAUGAGAUAGCGAGAGGAGCCGUCAUGGUGCUGGUCAAGGAGUACAGGAUACCCCUCCCGCUCACAGUGGAAGAGUAUAGGAUCGCCCAGCUCUUCAUGAUCGCA